rnacentral:rRNA from 1 species
UACAGAGGUCUCAGGCGUUGUUCGGAAUCACUGGGCGUAAAGCGUGCGUAGGCUGUUUCGUAAGUCGUGUGUGAAAGGCGCGGGCUCAACCCGCGGACGGCACAUGAUACUGCGAGACUAGAGUAAUGGAGGGGGAACCGGAAUUCUCGGUGUAGCAGUGAAAUGCGUAGAUAUCGAGAGGAACACUCGUGGCGAAGGCGGGUUCCUGGACAUUAACUGACGCUGAGGCACGAAGGCCAGGGGAGCGAAAGGG